ACAAAUAUUACUUGACUGUGCCUGCAUUCCCUCGUCCCUCCUGAUUUUAGAUGACUUCUUGGAAUUACCAAUAGUUCAGCAUUCACUGAUCUCAAGGCCCUUUUUUGGCCUUCUUUCCCCUUUCCCCCUGUGGACACAAUGGCGUGGUCAGAACAACAUUCCUCUCUUUUCUUAUAAAGGACACUUUCAGAAAAUAUCCAUCAGGAUCUCCUUUCUCUGCCUUCAGGCCUGGUAAUCCCUGAAAAAAACAACAGCCAAGACAAUAAAAACAGAGAGAGAGA